UACAGAGGGUGCGAGCGUUAAUCGGAAUUACUGGGCGUAAAGCGCGCGUAGGCGGCUUUGCAAGUCGGGUGUGAAAUCCCCAGGCUUAACCUGGGAACUGCAUUCGAGACUGCAUUGCUAGAGUAUGGGAGAGGGAAGUGGAAUUUCCGGUGUAGCGGUGAAAUGCGUAGAUAUCGGAAGGAACAUCAGUGGCGAAGGCGGUUGCCUGGAGCUUUGCUGACGCUGAGGCGCGAAAGCGUGGGGAGCGAACAGG
rnacentral:rRNA from 1 species